rnacentral:misc_RNA from 1 species
GAUGAAGAACGUAGCGAAAUGCGAUAAGUAAUGUGAAUUGCAGAAUUCAGUGAAUCAUCGAAUCUUUGAACGCACCUUGCGCUCUUUGGUAUUCCGAAGAGCAUGCCUGUUUGAGUGUCAUGAAAAUAUCAACCUUGACUUGGGUUUUGUGCUCUAGUCUCGGCUUGGAAUUGGGUGCUUGCCGCUUUUACGAGCGGCUCACCUUAAAUGUAUUAGCUGGAUCUGUCUUUGGGACUUGGUUUGACUUGGCGUAAUAAGUAUUUCGCUAAGGACAUUCUUCGGAGUGGCCUCGUUUCUAGGACGCUUGUCCGCUUUCCAAUACAAGUUCCACCUCGUGGACAUGACUUUUUAUUAUCUGGCCUCAAAUCAGGUAGGACUACCCGCUGAACUUAAGCAUAUCAAUAAGCGGAGGA